rnacentral:rRNA from 1 species
UAAUUGAAGAGUUUGAUCAUGGCUCAGAUUGAACGCUGGCGGUAGGCUUAACACAUGCAAGUCGUGCGAGAAAGUAUCUUCGGAUAUGAGUAGAGCGGCGGACGGGUGAGUAACGCGUAGGAAUCUACCUAGUAGAAGGGGAUAGCCCGGGGAAACUCGGAUUAAUACCGUAUACCUCCUUCGGGAGAAAGAAGGCCUCUCUUUGAAGCUUUCGCUAUUAGAUGAGCCUGCGUAAGAUUAGCUUGUUGGUGAGGUAAAGGCUCACCAAGGCGACGAUCUUUAGCGGGUCUGAGAGGACGAUCCGCCACAUUGGGACUGAGACACGGCCCAGACUCCUACGGGAGGCAGCAGUGGGGAAUAUUGGACAAUGGGCGCAAGCCUGAUCCAGCCAUACCGCGUGUGUGAAGAAGGCCCUAGGGUUGUAAAGCACUUUAAGUUGGGAAGAAAAGUUAUUGGUUAAUACCCAAUAACCGUGACAUUACCAUCAGAAUAAGGACCGGCUAAUUCCGUGCCAGCAGCCGCGGUAAUACGGAAGGUCCAAGCGUUAAUCGGAAUUACUGGGCGUAAAGCGCGCGUAGGUGGUUUAUUAAGUUGGAUGUGAAAUCCCCGGGCUCAACCUGGGAACUGCAUCCAAAACUGAUUCACUAGAGUACGAUAGAGGGAGGUAGAAUUCACAGUGUAGCGGUGGAAUGCGUAGAUAUUGUGAAGAAUACCAAUGGCGAAGGCAGCCUCCUGGAUCUGUACUGACACUGAGGUGCGAAAGCGUGGGUAGCGAACAGGAUUAGAUACCCUGGUAGUCCACGCCGUAAACGAUGUCAACUAGCUGUUGGAAAACUAUGUUUUUCAGUGGCGCAGCUAACGUAGUAAGUUGACCGCCUGGGGAGUACGGCCGCAAGGCUAAAACUCAAAUGAAUUGACGGGGACCCGCACAAGCGGUGGAGCAUGUGGUUUAAUUCGAUGCAACGCGAAAAACCUUACCUAUACUUGACAUACUUGGAAUGCUUUGUAAUGAAGUAGUGCCCUCGGGAGCCAAGAUACAGGUGCUGCAUGGCUGUCGUCAGCUCGUGUCGUGAGAUGUUCCGUUAAGUCGGAUAACGAGCGCAACCCUUACCCUUAUUUGCCAGCGAUUCGGUCGGGAACUAUAAGGGGACUGCCGGUGAUAAACCGGAGGAAGGUGAGGACGACGUCAAGUCAUCAUGGCCCUUACGUAUAGGGCUACACACGUGCUACAAUGGAGAAUACAGACGGACGCUAAGCCGCGAGGUGGUGCUAAUCCUAGAAAAUUCUUCGUAGUCCGGAUUGGAGUCUGCAACUCGACUCCAUGAAGUCGGAAUCGCUAGUAAUCGCGAAUCAGCAUGUCGCGGUGAAUACGUUCUCGGGUCUUGUACACACCGCCCGUCAUACCAUGGAAGUGGAUUGCACCAGAAGUAGAUAGUCUAACCUUCGGGAGGGCGUUUACCACGGUGUGCUUCAUGACUGGGGUAAAGUCGUAACAAGGUAGCCGUAGGGGAACCUGUGGCUGGAUCACCUCCUUA